GAUAAACGCUGGCGGCGCACAUAAGACAUGCAAGUCGAACGGACUUAACCAUUAGUUUACUGAUGGAGCGGUUAGUGGCGGACUGGUGAGUAACACGUAAGCAACCUGCCUAUCAGAGGGAACAACAGUUAGAAAUGACUGCUAAUACCGCAUAUGCCAUGAGUAUCGCAUGAUACAAAUGGGAAAGGAGCAAUCCGCUGAUAGAUGGGCUUGCGUCUGAUUAGAUAGUUGGUGAGGUAACGGCCCACCAAGGCGACGAUCGGUAGCCGGACUGAGAGGUUGAUCGGCCACAUUGGGACUGAGACACGGCCCAG
rnacentral:rRNA from 1 species